AACGAACGCUGGCGGCAUGCCUAACACAUGCAAGUCGAACGAGACCUUCGGGUCUAGUGGCGCACGGGUGCGUAACGCGUGGGAAUCUGCCCUUGGGUUCGGAAUAACAGUUGGAAACGACUGCUAAUACCGGAUGAUGACGUAAGUCCAAAGAUUUAUCGCCCAAGGAUGAGCCCGCGUAGGAUUAGCUAGUUGGUGAGGUAAAGGCUCACCAAGGCGACGAUCCUUAGCUGGUCUGAGAGGAUGAUCAGCCACACUGGGACUGAGACACGGCCCAGACUCCUACGGGAGGCAGCAGUGGGGAAUAUUGGACAAUGGGCGAAAGCCUGAUCCAGCAAUGCCGCGUGAGUGAUGAGGGCCUUAGGGUUGUAAAGCUCUUUUACCCGGGAUGAUAAUGACAGUACCGGGAGAAUAAGCUCCGGCUAACUCCGU
rnacentral:rRNA from 1 species